AUUGAACGCUGGCGGCAGGCUUAACACAUGCAAGUCGAGCGGGGACUUCGGUCCUAGCGGCGAACGGGUGAGGAAUGCUUGGGAAUCUGCCCAGUAGCGGGGGAUAACGUUUCGAAAGGAACGCUAAUACCGCAUACGCCCUACGGGGGAAAGGGGGGGAUCUUCGGACCUCCCGCUAUUGGAUGAGCCCAAGUCGGAUUAGCUAGUUGGUGAGGUAAAGGCUCACCAAGGCGACGAUCCGUAGCUGGUCUGAGAGGAUGAUCAGCCACACUGGAACUGAGACACGGUCCAGACUCCUACGGGAGGCAGCAGUGGGGAAUAUUGGACAAUGGGCGAAAGCCUGAUCCAGCCAUGCCGCGUGUGUGAAGAAGGCCUUCGGGUUGUAAAGCACUUUAAGCGAGGAGGAAUGGCUCUUGGUUAAUAACCUUGAGCAGUGACGUUACUCGCAGAAUAAGCACCGGCUAACUCUGUGCCAGCCGCCGCGGUAAAAC
rnacentral:rRNA from 1 species